rnacentral:rRNA from 1 species
CUGCCAGUAGUCAUAUGCUUGUCUCAAAGAUUAAGCCAUGCAUGUCUAAGUAUAAGCAAUUUAUACAGUGAAACUGCGAAUGGCUCAUUAAAUCAGUUAUCGUUUAUUUGAUAGUUCCUUUACUACAUGGUAUAACUGUGGUAAUUCUAGAGCUAAUACAUGCUUAAAAUCUCGACCCUUUGGAAGAGAUGUAUUUAUUAGAUAAAAAAUCAAUGUCUUCGGACUCUUUGAUGAUUCAUAAUAACUUUUCGAAUCGUAUGGCCUUGUGCUGGCGAUGGUUCAUUCAAAUUUCUGCCCUAUCAACUUUCGAUGGUAGGAUAGUGGCCUACCAUGGUUUCAACGGGUAACGGGGAAUAAGGGUUCGAUUCCGGAGAGGGAGCCUGAGAAACGGCUACCACAUCCAAGGAAGGCAGCAGGCGCGCAAAUUACCCAAUCCUAAUUCAGGGAGGUAGUGACAAUAAAUAACGAUACAGGGCCCAUUCGGGUCUUGUAAUUGGAAUGAGUACAAUGUAAAUACCUUAAC